CUGUACGAAAUUUGGCUGUUGGGUUCCGUUUGAUAGCGUAUACUGGGAACUAUGAUGUUGCACUAUAUUCAUAGAAAGAGCGGAGUGGUAUUCAAUGCAGUUGCAGUGUUUAUAAAAUAAAAAAAACUGUUGAAAUUGUUAAAACCAUCGGUAGGUGUUUAUUAUAUGCAACGCGGUAAACUUUCUUUUAAAAAAUUUCAUCAUACUAUGAUUUCUUUUUAGAAUAUGGAUAUCGAUUUUGAGGAAAUAGCUCCUGCACUUGCUGAGCAAGUAGCAACAUUGAUGAUGCAUUUAAUAGAAGACGAGGAGGAGGAGGAGGAAGAAUCCCGUCCAGCAAAGGUCCGUCGAUGCUGGACAACGGACCUCUUUUUGGAAAGGGAAGAUGUGUGGGGGCGUCUUCUUGAGGCAAUUGAUGGUGAAGGACCCAAUUAUCGUAUACAUGACUUUCUGCGUCUGGAUCGGGAGGAGUUCCUCCACAUUUUAUCGUUGAUAGGCCCAAAAAUUUGCCGGGAGAAUACGAAUAUGCGGAAAGCCAUAACACCGAAACCACGGCUUGCCAUCGCGCUACGCUACUUGGCUACAGGGGACUCAUAUGAAUCCCUAGCCUAUUUGUUCAGGGAUUCUAGCUGAUCUGUAUUCUAUAUCGUCCAGGAAGUGUGUUCUUGUCUAAUACAGGACCUUAAGGAGUAUGUCAAGCUGCCGUCCAGUGCUACAGAAUGGCUUAAAACAUCGAGCGCAUUUGAGGAAAAGUGGAAUUUCCCUCAUGCUAUUGCU